GCUGGAGGUUCGCUAGCCGAAGCGGCUGCAUCUGGCGCCGCGUCUGCCCCGCGUGCUCGGAGCGGAUUCUGCCCGCCGUCCCCGGAGCCCUCGGCGCCCCGCUGAGCCCGCGAUCACUUCCUCCCUGUGACCAACCGGCGCUGCAGGUUAGAGCCUGGCAAUGCCGUUUGGGUGUGUGACUCUGGGCGACAAGAAGAACUAUAACCAGCCAUCGGAGGUGACUGACAGAUAUGAUUUGGGACAGGUCAUCAAGACUGAGGAGUUCUGUGAAAUCUUCCGGGCCAAGGACAAGACGACAGGCAAGCUGCACACCUGCAAGAAGUUCCAGAAGCGGGACGGCCGCAAGGUGCGGAAAGCUGCCAAGAACGAGAUAGGCAUCCUCAAGAUGGUGAAGCAUCCCAACAUCCUACAGCUGGUGGAUGUGUUUGUGACCCGCAAGGAGUACUUUAUCUUCCUGGAGCUGGCCACGGGGAGGGAGGUGUUUGACUGGAUCCUGGACCAGGGCUACUACUCGGAGCGAGACACAAGCAACGUGGUACGGCAAGUCCUGGAGGCCGUGGCCUAUUUGCACUCACUCAAGAUCGUGCACAGGAAUCUCAAGCUGGAGAACCUGGUUUACUACAACCGGCUGAAGAACUCGAAGAUUGUCAUCAGUGACUUCCAUCUGGCUAAGCUAGAAAAUGGCCUCAUCAAGGAGCCCUGUGGGACCCCCGAGUAUCUGGGCAAGCAGGGGGUGGGGCAGGGGCAGGGGGAUAAUGGGGGGCAGCCUUCAGGGAGCUGCUCUGGGCAGGGGGAAAAUGUGCUCAUCUCAGGAAGCUGGUGUGGAUGGUACUGGACCUGGCUAGGCCUGAUACUGACCAGCAGAUGGGCGCUGUGUUUGUAGCCCCAGAAGUGGUAGGCCGGCAGCGGUAUGGACGCCCUGUGGACUGCUGGGCCAUUGGAGUCAUCAUGUACAUCCUGCUUUCAGGCAACCCACCUUUCUAUGAGGAGGUGGAAGAAGAUGAUUAUGAGAACCAUGAUAAGAAUCUCUUCCGCAAGAUCCUGGCUGGUGACUAUGAGUUUGACUCUCCAUAUUGGGAUGAUAUUUCGCAGGCAGCCAAAGACUUGGUCACAAGGCUGAUGGAGGUGGAGCAAGACCAGCGGAUCACUGCAGAAGAGGCCAUCUCCCAUGAGUGGAUUUCUGGCAAUGCUGCUUCUGAUAAGAACAUCAAGGAUGGUGUCUGUGCCCAGAUUGAAAAGAACUUUGCCAGGGCCAAGUGGAAGAAGGCUGUCCGAGUGACCACCCUCAUGAAACGGCUCCGGGCACCAGAGCAGUCCAGCACGGCUGCAGCCCAGUCGGCCUCAGCCACAGACACUGCCACCCCCGGGGCUGCAGGUGGGGCCACAGCUGCAGCUGCGAGUGGAGCUACCUCAGCCCCUGAGGGUGAUGCUGCUCGUGCUGCAAAGAGUGAUAAUGUGGCCCCCGCAGACCGUAGUGCCACCCCAGCCACAGAUGGAAGUGCCACCCCAGCCACUGAUGGCAGUGUCACCCCAGCCACCGAUGGAAGCAUCACUCCAGCCACUGAUGGGAGUGUCACCCCAGCCACUGACAGGAGCGCUACUCCAGCCACUGAUGGGAGAGCCACACCAGCCACAGAAGAGAGCACUGUGCCCACCACCCAAAGCAGUGCCACGCUGGCCACCAAGGCAGCUGCCACCCCUGAGCCGGCUAUGGCCCAGCCGGACAGCACAGCCCCAGAGGGCGCCACAGGCCAGGCUCCACCCUCUAGUAAAGGGGAAGAGGCUGCUGGUUAUGCCCAGGAGUCUCAAAGGGAGGAGGCCAGCUGAGUAGGCAGCCUGGUGAGGGGGGGCGGGGGAUGGGCAGGAGGGUGGGAGAGUGGAUGAGGGGCUUCUCACUGUACAUAGAGUCACUGGCAUGAUGCCCUCGCUCCCCCAUGCCCCCACAUCCCAGUGGGGCAUAACUAGGGGUCACGGGAGAGCAGUCUCGUCUCCUGUGUGUAUGUGUGUGAGUGGUGGGCAGGCCAGUGGCAGGGCCGGCCCCAGCCCCUGCAUGGAUUCCUUGUGGCUUUUCUGUCUUUUGCUAGCUUCACCAGUUUCUGUUCCUUGUGGGAUGCUGCUCUAGGGAUACUCAGGGGGCUCCUGCUCUCCUUCCCCUUCCCUUCUUGCCUCACCAUUCCCCUAGGCAGGCCCUGCAGGUCCCACACUCUCCCAGGCCCUAAACUUGGGCGGCCUUGCCCUGAGAGCUGGUCCUCCAGCGAGGCCCUGUCAGCGGUCUUAGGCUCCUGCACAUGAAGGUGUGUGCCUGUGGUGUGUGGGCUGCUCUAGGAGCAGAUACAGGCUGGUAUAGAGGAUGCAGAAAGGUAGGGCAGUAUGUUUAAGUCCAGACUUGGCACAUGGCUAGGGAUACUGCUCACUAGCUGUGGAGGUCCUCAGGAGUGGAGAGAAUGAGUAGGAGGGCAGAAGCUUCCAUUUUUGUCCUUCCUAAGACCCUGUUAUUUGUGUUAUUUCCUGCCUUUCCGAGUCCUGCAGUGGGCUGCCCUGUACCCUGAACCUCAUGAGCCUCUAAGGGAAAGGAGGAACAAUUAGGACGUGGCAAUGAGACCUGGCAGGGCAGAGUACAAGCCCAGCACCCAGUGUUCCAGCCUUACUGGGUCCUUACCCUGGGCCAAACAGGGAGGGCUGAUAUCUCCUUGCUCUUCCUAGAUGCCCACCCCCUACAAUCUCAGCCCACAAGUCCUCUCCACCCUAGGGGGCUUGCUGCAUGGCAAUAACUCAUAAUCUGAUUUGGAGGUUUGCCCUUUACAGGGGCAGAUUUUCUGCUCAGUUCAACAAUGAAAUGAAGAGGAACUCCCUCUUUCUACAGCUCACUUCUAUCAGAGGCCCAGGUGCCUCAGAGCCACAUUGAGUUGCUUUUUCUGGGAUGAGGAAGUAGAGUUAAACUCCCCAGUUUCCUGAGGGAGGCUCCUGACAGGUGCCCUUUGUCAGACCCUACCACAGCCUGGAUAGGCAGCCACAUUGGUCCUCGCCCUUGCUCGGCACUCCGUGGUGGUCCUGCCCUUCUCCCUGCAUGCCUGUGGGUCUGCUCUGGUGUGUGAAGGUCGGUGGGUUAACUGUGUGCCUACUGAACCUGGCAAAUAAACAUCACCCUGCAAAGCCU
rnacentral:sRNA from 1 species